UAAAAUGUAUUAACUGUUUAAUGGAGGCAAUGAAAACAUUGGAAAUGCAUAUAUUGCAAGCCAAGAAGUCAGAGAAAACGACUGAGCUAAUUUAGUAAGUCAAAUUUCGCUGAUGCAGCGGUUAAACCUAGGAGGGAAACCGCUUGCAUUUGUUUUGACUCCACUGUAAACUUUCUCACCGACACGCCCCACGGAAUCCCCGAUACACAAGAGGUUCCCGCGUCUCUAACAGUCUUGAGAACCGGUCGGGGCAGAGAUUAACAUUACAGGUUGUCUAUGGUGGUUUGGGUGUAAAUACGGAGGAAGAACUCCCCCUGCUGGUUGGGCCUGAAGGUGGAGGCCAUUAUAACGUAAGUGCCAGGUUCCAGGUGCACCUUCCUCCACACACUCCUGAUGCUCCGGUACUUUCCAGAGCGACUGACAGGCCUGUUGUUGGAGAAAAACUGCUGGUCUAGAGAACCUGGUUUGUCCUGCAACUAAAGGAGCUCCACCAAUAUUGUGCCCUUCUUCUUCUUUUCCUGUUUCCCGGUUUUGAUCACAGGAGGUGGCACAUCAACUUCAUCUUCUUCUCCAGCCGGAUCUUCGUCCUCAAUCUCGUCCUCUAUAAAGUCAUGGUCAUCCACGUCUUUCUCAGACAAAACCAGUUGGAACUGAGGGUUUCUCCAGAAUGAUCCUAUGGAGAUGAUGAAGAACAACAACAACAACAACAAGAAGAUGAAGAGAAAUGACUACAAGCAAGCGAGAAGUUAGGCUAAUUCUUUGUUAAAUACAUGUUAUAAAAUAAAAAUAAAUACAUUUAUGCAUCAAA